AUUAGAGUUUGAUCCUGGCUCAGAUUGAACGCUGGCGGCAGGCUUAACACAUGCAAGUCGAGCGGAGAUGAGGUGCUUGCACCUUAUCUUAGCGGCGGACGGGUGAGUAAUGCUUAGGAAUCUGCCUAUUAGUGGGGGACAACAUUCCGAACGGGAUGCUAAUACCGCAUACGUCCUACGGGAGAAAGCAGGGGAUCUUCGGACCUUGCGCUAAUAGAUGAGCCUAAGUCGGAUUAGCUAGUUGGUGGGGUAAAGGCCUACCAAGGCGACGAUCUGUAGCGGGUCUGAGAGGAUGAUCCGCCACACUGGGACUGAGACACGGCCCAGACUCCUACGGGAGGCAGCAGUGGGGAAUAUUGGACAAUGGGGGGAACCCUGAUCCAGCCAUGCCGCGUGUGUGAAGAAGGCCUUAUGGUUGUAAAGCACUUUAAGCGAGGAGGAGGCUACUGAGACUAAUACUCUUGGAUAGUGGACGUUACUCGCAGAAUAAGCACCGGCUAACUCUGUGCCAGCAGCCGCGGUAAUAAU
rnacentral:rRNA from 1 species